rnacentral:snRNA from 1 species
CUGGAGCUCGGACGCGAGUUC